rnacentral:rRNA from 1 species
UACGUAGGUGGCAAGCGUUAUCCGGAAUUACUGGGCGUAAAGCGCACGCAGGUGGCUUGGUAAGUCUGACGUGAAAGCUCCUGGCUUAACUGGGAGAGGUCGUUGGAGACUGGCAGGCUUGAGGUAAGGAGAGGGGUGCAGAAUUCCCGGUGUAGUGGUGGAAUGCGUAGAUAUCGGGGGGAAUACCAGAGGCGAAAGCGGCACCCUGGCCUUGGCCUGACGCUCAGGUGCGAAAGCGUGGGGAGCGAAC